GACGAACCUUGCUAACGUUAUUCGGAAUUACUGGGCGUAAAGGGCGCGUAGGCGGCGACUCAAGUUAGAUGUGAAAGUCCUGGGCUUAACCUGGGGACUGCAUUUGAUACUGGGUUGCUUGAAUUCGGGAGAGGAUAGCGGAAUUCCCAGUGUAGAGGUGAAAUUCGUAGAUAUUGGGAAGAACACCGGUGGCGAAGGCGGCUAUCUGGACCGACAUUGACGCUGAUGCGCGAAAGCCAGGGGAGCAAACGGG
rnacentral:rRNA from 1 species